GCCUGGGUGGCUCAGUCGGUUAAGCGUCCGACUUCGGCUCAGGUCAUGACCUUAAGGUUCACGAGUUCGAGCCCCGCCUCAGGCU
rfam:Felis catus isolate Cinnamon breed Abyssinian chromosome A1, whole genome shotgun sequence.